rnacentral:misc_RNA from 1 species
GCAACUCACAGUAGUGUGCUGGCGGUAGUGAGAGGAGGGUGUGCCGCUGGUCCCUCCCUGUGUGGCUGACCUGCUCCCUGCUGGGGACUUUAUAUAUAGAAGCGAUUGUCAAGUGGAUGUGUGGCUCCGAACUCUGGCUCAUUGCGGCUCUAGUGCCCGGGGUGACUGCUUGUUUGGGCGUGUAUGAGUACUGUUUGGGCAAGCGAUGAAUGGUGAAGUGGUGGUGUGUGGAGGCGGCGGCGGCGGCGGCGUGGGGAUGAUGAAGACCAGCAAAGUGAGCAAGGCUGGCCCUAGCGGGUGGUCAGCUGGCCACCACCACCUCCACCACCAUCACCACCACCACGACCCUUGGAUCCAGCCCCCCGUCACCACCCCCGCCAGCCUCAGCCCCAAGGAACCCCCCACCAACACCUCCAUGGACUCUGGGGUGGCUGGCCUGCGGGACACCCCCGUACACACCCCCGCCCCCAUCCACCACCACAACAACACCACCACUGCCACCAUCACCACCACCACCACCACCAUCACCACCAACACCAACAGCAACAAUAACAACAACAACAACAACAUGGGUGGCGGCAAAGGGAACAACAACAAUAACAAUAAUAACAAUAACAACGAGGACUAUGAUGUGCCCAAGUUCAUCGUUGACCACAGCACCAGAGCCACCUACAUGAAGGGCCGCUUCUUGGGCAAGGGUGGCUUCGCUCGAGUACACGAAGUCACGGAUCUCAUCACCAACAUGACCUACGCUGGCAAGAUAAUCCCGAAGUGUAGGAUCACCAAGCCCCAUCACAAGGAGAAGAUCGCACGGGAGAUUGAGGUCCACCGUCACCUUCGUCACCAGCACGUCGUCCGCUUCCACCACUACUUCGAGGACGACGCCAACGUGUACAUCAUUCUCGAGAACUGCGCCAGGAGGAGUCUAGUGCACGUGUUGAAGCACCGACGCACCCUGACGGAGCCUGAGGUGCGGUACUACAUGCGGCAGCUGGCGGAGGGCGUCGCGUAUGUCCACCAGCAGCACGUCAUCCACCGCGACCUCAAGCUGGGCAACAUGUUUCUCACGGAGGACAUGUCAGUGAAGAUUGGGGACUUUGGGUUAGCCACGCGCGUCGACGAUAAUCGGAACGUCAGGACCAUAUGUGGCACCCCGAACUACAUUGCCCCUGAAGUGCUCAACAAACUUGGCCAUUCUUACGACGCGGACAUCUGGGCCAUGGGAUGCAUCAUGUACGCUCUCCUAGUCGGCCAGCCGCCUUUCGAGACAGAUUCACUCAAGGAAACGUACUCGCGCAUCACCACAAACAAAUACGUCAUUCCACCACUUGUGAGCGACGCUGCCCGCAACCUCAUCCGCCGCUUCCUCCACCCAGACCCCAACGCGCGGCCCCGCCUGGACCAGCUGCUGAGCCACGAGUUCUUCACGUCAGGUGUGGUGCCAACGUCCUUACCUCCUUCAGCCUGCACUCAGCCUCCUAAGUUUGGGCUUGAGGUGAUCGGCAAGUCGGUGUCUAUGCCAGAACAGCAGCUUCAGCACCCUCCUUCCCUGCCUCAGUCUCAGUCCCAGCAGCAGCACCCUCUCUGUCAGGACAUCAAGAAGAUCACCUCCUCAGUCUCCACUCUACGGAUCCCCAACCAGAAGCCUCAGACGGACAAGAUAUCCAUUCUGGAGGGAGGUCUUGGUCUAGGCAGUCCUCCCCCCACCCGGCCUACCAACACUGCAGUCCCCAAGGAGGAGAACCGCAAGAAGGACUCGGGAGGCACCCUGUCCUCAUGUCUGCGGCAGAAGCUCUCCUCUGUCAUCUGCACCACGGACAACAAAGCCUCAACGGGCACUGUGGUGACAGCCAAGAAGAGGGACGUCACCUCGGGGACUCUGUAUAACCUGCUGGCAUCCUGUCUGGACAACAUGCCUGAUGACAUGAGCACCAAUCCUGCUGUCCUCAAUCACACUCCACUCUUCAUCUCCAAGUGGAUUGACUACUCCAAUAAGUACGGCUUUGGCUACCAGCUGUCAGACAACUGUGUGGGCGUGUUCUUCAAUGACCUCACCCGCAUCAGCAUAAGUCCAGACAAGAGCCGAGUAGAGUUCACGGACUCGACUGGGCGACUAGUGGUGCACCAGGCCGGUUCAUUACCAGCCUGGCUGCAGGAACGUUACCAGCUGCUGCGUUACUUUGCCACCUACAUGGAGGAGAACCUGACAGAAGCUGGGGAUGUGCGGAGCAGUCGGGCAGUAGUCGGGCGAGGCAAUGUCAUUCCUCACGUGAGGCGCUGGGACCGGACACCAAAGUCCAUCAUUAUGCAGCUUAGCAAUGGCACCUUCCAGAUCAACUUCUUUAAGGACCACACCAAGAUAGUGAUUGCCGGUGAGCGAUCAGAUGUGAGCAUCAUGUUCAUCAGCAGUGACCGUCAGUCCUUCACCUACCGCCUCUCCCAGCUGGCUGAGGUGGGCUGCGAUGCCAUGGUGCGGGAGCGGCUGGUUUAUGCUCUCUCCUGCCUCCGCCAGUAUGCUGAGUUGGAUGGAGAGGAGGUCUGAUGGAAAGCUUAUUCUAUUCCCAACCUUCAUCAUUUUGCCAUGAGAUUUUGGAAGGUCUUUUUUGUCUGUUAAGUUCUUGGAUGAAAUGAGUGUUUGAUGUUUUGUUGGCUUGUCCGAAAGGAAGUGGAAAUUGUUCAUGGUGGAAAAAUGUUAUACUGUGAAUCAUCAUGUCAUGAAAAGUUUAAGUUUGCUUUAAGUGAAACAUUAAUGCAUAGUGCUCAUUGAGAAUGCACUAUAAUAUGUUACACUGGAAUCUUCAACAUGGAUGCACUGUAUUUAUUGAGGAAAGGAAAGGUUUUAGUGUGUGAGCUGCUGCAUCAGUGAAUGGUGUGUAGGAACUGUAAACUAUGCAAAAACUGUACAGUACUAUUGCCUGCACAUCAACAUACACAGCUGUGCAGCAGCUUUGUUAUAACAUUUCUCCUGAGAAACGGAAACCAACACCUGUGUUUGAGACCAAUGGAGCAUGAGCGCUCUACCUCACAGCUACUACUGUUAGUUAUGUAUCAAAUCACUGCCCAUGAUGAUAGUCAAAAGGGCACAGAAAAGCCUACUUGGCCUCCCCCAUGCACUCCUUCACUGCGCCAGUGUAACUCCAGACUGAACUGUGUGGCUGCCAAGGGUGUGUUGGGGAGGCUGGUGACGUGUUCUCCGUGUUGCCCCCAGUGUUUACCAAAGAGUGCAGAAGGGGGGGCAGUGUUGCACAGAGUGGAUGAAACAGAAGUAUUGGUGGCACGCCAGGCAAGAUGCUUCAGGCAGCAAGAAGUGAUGGCUGUCUGGGCGAGGUGACAAGAGGUUGUGCCAGGAACAUUGUAAAAUACCUCUUCUGUGCAUUAACAUUCAGUUCUGAAAUCCGUUUAUAUGUAUAUGUAUAUACAUAUAGUAUAUAUAUCAAGUUUAAUCAAAUCAAUAAUGAUCUCUUAUGCUAACCUGCUCAAUGAUUCAAAUAAAAAUGUGCAUUCUUGGCAUAAUUUUGCAAUGUCUGUUUUUAGAGGAGUUAUGUGCAAUCUUAAAGUAAUAGGUUCUGUGGCAGGCAACAAGGAGUCAGUCAUGCUCAGAAUACUAAGUGAUGCAUUCUUGUCGGCUGUCUUAAAACUGAGGUGAAAGAUCAUUUUUCUUUCAAAGUAUGGAAAUGCAAGUCCGUCCCUGUGUGUAGUGCAGCAUCAGAAGUGUGUGUGUGUGUGUGUGUGUGUGUGUGUGUGUGUGUGUGUGUGUGUGUGUGUGUGUGUGUGUGUGUGUGUGUGUGUGUGUGUG